AGAAAACAACAGUGAUUCCCUGAGUAACGGCGAGUGAAAAGGGAGGAGCCCAGCACCGAAUCUCGUGCUUGCGAAAGCGAGCAUGCGAAAUGUGGUGUUAGGGAAGGACCGAUAUUGCCCUGCGCAUCUGCUUGCCGGCGUCCAAGUCCGAUCGAAAGCGGCGGCCUCAUUGCCCGUAGAGGGUGCAAGGCCCGUGGGACCGGUGCGGGUGUGCGGGAGCGGUCCUUUCCGCGGAGUCGGGUUGCUUGAAAGUGCAGCCCAAAGUGGGAGGUAAACUCCUCCUAAGGCUAAAUAUCACCACGAGACCGAUAGUGAACAAGUACCGCGAGGGAAAGUUGAAAAGAACUCUGAAGAGAGAGUUCAAGAGUGCGUGAAACCGCUCAGGGGUAAACAGGUGGAACAGCCGAAGCUCGAACGGAGAGAUCUCAGGAUCGCUAGGUCCGGUGUGUCCGCGAGCGGUUGCUCCGCUCCGGGUUGGCAGCUCACUCGUGGGUCGCUUCCCGGUGUCGGUGUGCUGUUUGGGUGUACUGCACGGCUGCGGUCCGUACGGCUCUCCCAGUAGGACGUCGCGACCUGCGGGGACGGCAACUUGGGUGUCGUGCGAUCUCUGGGCUGUGCUUCCCUAGGUAUAUUUGAACAUUGCGUCUCCUUGCGUACUUCGGUGCGGGCGGUACGGUGGGUAGGUUGGGGUAUAGCAAGCGCUUCGUGUGUCGCGUUGUGCUUCAGGCCUCUCCGAGAUACGCCCGGUCAGCCGCCCUGCAGUGUUAGGACCUCGGUGCCGACAUCCGAUUCGUCGGAUGCGCAAAACUCGUGGCAGCUGCGUCCGGGUGCUCGUUUUGGUUUGGGGUCUUCGGGCCCCCCGAGCGAGCGGGACUUCAGUGACCAGCCCAGGUGUCGGUUUCUUGCUGCGGGAUUGAGCGGGGCGCUUUGUAGUUGGCGGCGAUUAGGAUUGUGGUUCCACCUGACCCGUCUUGAAACACGGACCAAGGAGUCUAACAUGUGCGCGAGUCUCUGGGCCUAAAACCCCAAAGGCGUAGCGAAAGCGAAGGCCUGCUUUUUGCGGGCUGAGGGGAGAUCCGUCGUUGGUCUAAUGCCGCGGCGGCGCAUCCCCGGGGCGUCUGCGACGGAGUCGGCUUGCCGGCUUCGGGCAGGCGCACCAAGAGCGCACAUGCUGGGACCCGAAAGAUGGUGACCUAUGCCCGGCCAGGACGAAGCCAGGGGAAACUCUGGUGGAGGUCCGCAGCGAUUCUGACGUGCAAAUCGAUCGUCUGAGCCGGGUAUAGGGGCGAAAGACUAAUCGAACCAUCUAGUAGCUGGUUCCCUCCGAAGUUUCCCUCAGGAUAGCUGGCACUCGCCUGAAGGAGUCUCAUCCGGUAAAGCGACUGAUUAGAGGCUUUGGGGUCGCAACGACCUCGACCUAUUCUCAAACUUUAAAUGGGUGAGAUGCAGGGCAUUCCUAAAUGGUCGAUGCCCUGCUGUCUCUGGAUCUCGAGUGCCCAGUGGGCCAUUUUGGUAAGCAGAACUGGCGCUGUGGGAUGAACCAAACGCCGGGUUAAGGUGCCGGAGUUGACGCGCAUCAGACACCAUUAAAGGCGUCGGUGGCUAAAGACAGCAGGACGGUGGCCAUGGAAGUCGGCAUCCACUAAGGAGUGUGUAACGACUCGCCUGCCGAAGCGACCGGCCCUGAAAAUGGAUGGCGCUUCAGCGUCGCACCCAUACCCGGCCGCCGGACCAGAGCUCGGGCAGGUUUGUCUCUGAACGCCUGCCCGCUCGAUGACCCGGUGAGUAGGAGGGAGCGCAGAGGCGUGCGUUGAAGGGGACUGGGCGUGAGCCCGCCUGGAGCCGCCUCUGGUGCAGAUCUUGGUGGUAGUAGCAAAUACUCCGGAGAGGCCCCGGAGGACUGAUGCGGAGAAGGGUUUCGCGUGAACAGCUGUUGGACGCGAGUCAGUCGAUCCUUAGCCCUAGGGGAAACCCGAGAUGCAGAGGUGGCGCGCUUUGCUAGUCGUCGUCUCGACAGUAGGCAGCCUACUCGUUGUCACUCACAGGGCGAAAGGGAAACCGGCCAAAAUUCCGGUACCCGGCAGCGGAACCGAUAGCCCAUCGGGCUGCGGACCCCAGGCGGCGUGCGGAAACGUACGUCGCCAGGUUCGUCGCGGUAACGCGACAGGACACGGAGACGCCGGCGGGGGCCUCGGGAAGAGUUAUCUUUUCUCCAGAAGCGGCCGAGGCCCUGGAAACCUCUCUGAGGGAGAGAGGGUUUUGGCUUUUUGCGAGGAGCGUCGCCAACACGGGGCGGCGUCCGGGGAACUCCCGUCAGGCCCUUGAAAAUCCGUGCGAGGGGAACGCGGAGGUGUCGCGCCGGAUCGUACCCAUAUCCGCAGCAGGUCUCCAAGGUGCACAGCCUCUUGUCGAUAGAUCAAUGUAGGUAAGGGAAGUCGGCAAACCAGAUCCGUACCUUCGGAACAAGGAUUGGCUCUGAGACUCGGCGCGCUGGCCGGGC
rnacentral:rRNA from 1 species